rnacentral:rRNA from 1 species
AAUGGGCGCAAGCCUGAUCCAGCAAUGCCGCGUGAGUGAAGAAGGCCUUCGGGUUGUAAAGCUCUUUCAGUUGAGAAGAAAAAGUCGUGACUAAUAAUCAUGAUUCAUGACGGUAUCAACAGAAGAAGCACCGGCUAACUACGUGCCAGCAGCCGCGGUAAUACGUAGGGUGCAAGCGUUAAUCGGAAUUACUGGGCGUAAAGGGUGCGCAGGCGGUUCUGUAAGUCAGAUGUGAAAUCCCCGGGCUUAACCUGGGAACUGCGUUUGAAACUGCAGAGCUAGAGUGCAGCAGAGGGAGGUGGAAUUCCAUGUGUAGCAGUGAAAUGCGUAGAGAUAUGGAAGAACAUCGAUGGCGAAGGCAACCUCCUGGGCUAGCACUGACGCUCAUGCACGAAAGCGUGGGGAGCAAA